UUGUUGAUUUUGUUUGGAGUUUGUGACUGGCGCGGGUCCUUAACUUGCCCGUCUGCCUUCCCGGGGCGCUGCUCUUAACAGAGGCGAAUGGCGCUCUGCUUCACCCCCCUGCUGCCCUUCCCCUGCUGGAGCUGCUUUACCUCCACUGGCCUUGAGCUCCACAGGGCACUUCUAUCUGUUUACUUGACAGUACAUAUUUUUGCCUUAAACACUUAUCUUAAUUUAAGAGAUUUCAAAAAUAAAGAAGCUUUUUAUUUACCCACAUAUUAACCAUUUCUGAUACUCUUUGUUUCUUUAAGUAGAUCCAGAUUUCCUUGUGAUAUUAUUUUCCUUUUGCUUAAAGAAUUUAAAUGUGUCUAAUGGUGUAUGUCUGUCAUUGAGGACAUCAGCUUUUGCAUGUCUGAGAAGAGUCAGUUUUGUAUUUGAAAGGUUUCUGUUUGUUGGGUAUAGAAUGGGGAAGUUGGUAUUGUCUAGUUGGUAUCAGGGAUUGAACCCAGAGGUGCUUAACCACUGAGCCACAUCCCCAGCCUUUUUUCAUAUUUUAUUUAGAGGCAGGGUCUCACUAAGUUGCUUAGGGCCUUGCUAAGUUGCUGAGGCUGGCUCUGAACUCCAUGCUGCUCCUGCCCCAGCCUCCCUAGCCGCUGGGAUUACAGGUGUGUGCCACUGCACCUGGCCUGUUGUCUGUUGCUCUGCCAUCUGGCUUAUUAAUAAGUAAAUUGUCAUUCUUUGUUCUAUAAAUAAAGUGAGUUUUUCCCUGGUUGAUUAAAAGUAUCAAAAACUAUUUUCUUAUAGCUAUUUUUUUUUUUUAAACCAUUUAAAGUGUUAGGGUCAAUUUGGUCCUAGAUGAUCCACCUUAGUCAGAAGUAGAAGAGCAUGUUUGGGUGUUUCUUUAAAUAUAAAAGCUGUCUUCAUUUUAGCAAACUGGAAUAGUUGGAAGUGCUGCCUUUUGUAGUGGCUUUCUGAUGGCAUUCUCUUGGGGGUGGAAUAGUUCUUUUAGUGCACUGCUCAGAGUACAGUGCCACAAGAUGGGCCCAUCCCAUGGACUCACUCACAUUUUAAAGAGGCCUUUUUUGGGCCAUACUGGGGAUUGAACCAAUGGGCCGCACUCCAUCACUGAGGGUGUGCCCAGUCGGAGCAGUGACAGUGGGGUCUAAUUGGGACAUGAGAGGCCUUUUCUAUUCCUCAUGUGGCAGCAUUGUGGUGCUUCUCAUGUUGUGGUGUUUUUGCUUUCCUGAGCAAAGACCUGGAGCAAAGAUAAAAUCUGGUUGUGAGUGAUGAACAGAUUGGUUGCAGAAAAGCUUAAGUGUUUCUUUGUGCCAGGAAAUAUUCUUGGAGAUAAAGCAGUGAAUAAGGUGAAAAUUCCUGUCCUCCUGGAGCCCAUAUCUAGCUCUGCAGAGACAGAUGGAAAGUUAAGGCAAGCUAGCAAAUCGGAGGUGGUGACAGGCAGGAAUGGAGGGUGUUAAUCACCGUGGAGGGGGAUGUCUGGGAGCGCUUAUGCUUCGGGCAGGGCCUGACCUCCUGGUGUUGGGAGCUCUUACUGGAGUCUCGAGCUUCCAUCUCCUCCAGCCUCACGAUUCUCCCAUCAGUUAUAUUCCCUUUUCCCCAGCACUUGGAUUUAUAUUUAUUUGUUGACUAUUUACUUUUAUCAUAUAAGCAUGUUUCAAAUCUUUCUCUUUUUAAAAUAUUAGAAACUAAACAAAAUAAAAAGUAAUCUUCGUCGAGCCUUGGGUGUCCUGGCUAAUUGUUCUAACAGUUACAUUUCCGCAGGGCACCUUUUGAGCUGGUUAUCUUCCUCUGUAUAUUGUUUUUCUCAGCCAUGACUGUGGUCUGGCCCCUCCACUUUGAUAGCACAAGAAUCACACCUGAUAGGUGACAGUACCACAUUCAAUGGGCAGGUGCCAGUUAGUCGUGCCUUCAGAUUCUGUCUGCCUUGUAUCUUUGAAGCUCUUACCUUCUGCUAGUUUCAUCCAUUCUCUUCUGGUUCUCCCUCCUCUUCUGGCAGUGUAAGCGGUUUCUGGCCUUGCAGU
rnacentral:lncRNA from 1 species